CUCUUCUCCAUUGUUUCUAUUGAUUCUGUGUCUUGGGAUUUUGACAGGAAAGGGGCUCCGGUUUAAAGCCAGUUGGAGUUAGCAGUCGAGGGUUUCAGGAAUGCCGACAUUAUCACAGAAGUGGCCAGAGCAGUGAGUCUGCAUGUGGGUCCAAGAUUUUCCCCAGCCUUCCUUUGAGCAGUGGUUCUGGUUACAGCUAACUAAAAAUUACAGUUCAUUCUGACCUUCACCGAGGCUGGUUUGCAGCACCUAGACAGCUGAGAUCUGCUUUGUGCCAAGCACUUCCACGCAACGUAAUAAUAGGCAGUUCUUGUGCUAACACUGCUGUCAGUAAUAGGGAGUUUAUAACUGUUCUUUAAGAGAAUGCAAGUGGAGAAUAGAGUGGUGUGUUGUUGGAUGUUUCCUUAAAAAUGCUACAAAAAGUUAAAACGUUGUCAAGCGGUCAGCACUGCUUGUGUCUGUGCUUUUAUCAUCUGGAGAGGGUCUGGGAGCUAGACUGAGGAGGCUGUCCAGUUUGUUUUGGAGGUUAUUUGUUGACUGUAACUUCAGUAGCUGAAAGCAGGUGCUGCUUGGAAGACGCCGUAGGACUUGGAAUUGUCUAUGUCUGAGGAAGGAAGCUUUUUAGAAACCAUUGGCUCUUGCUGCCUCCUUCACAUGAAUAUAAUGAUGUUGCUCCAGUGUUCCACCAUGAAAAAUAUCAAUCAAGUCUCCUAGAUGUGCUUUGUGGGAGAAAAUAUGAGCAGUAAGGCGAUCGCGAAAGAAGUGUGCAACAAACACAGCUCCGCCACAACUGCAGGAGUGUAAAGGGAAGGCAUUAAAAUAGCUGCAAGUCUUGACUUUUAAUAAUGUUUUGUAUUUUCUAGAGCUGUGCUGCCAAGCGGCCCAUGAUUUACAGAGCUGUCAUGAACUUGAAUGCAGAGGAACAGCUUGUUUUGAAAGAAGCUACAGAACAAAACUUGGUUUUAUGUUACUGGAAAGAUGUGUGCUUUCUUUCAGUAUCAGCAGGCAAUCAGAGUUUCUAUGGGCCUGGUGUUAACAGAGUUAUAACAGCAUGAAACUCGAAUAAUACAGUGAUGAAUGAGCCUGCGGAUUUGGGAUGUGAGGGGGAAAUCAUGUGCUUUGGAACAGAAAGAUGUUUGGUAGAGAGGAGGAUGCUGCCACUAUAUAUGGUCACUCCUUUGUUCAU
ensembl:lncRNA